UACAAUGGCGUAAACAGAGGGAAGCGAGCCCGCAGGGGGAGCAAAUCCCAAAAAUAACGUCCCAGUUCGGAUUGUAGCCUGCAACCCGGCUACAUGAAGCUGGAAUCGCUAGUAAUCGCAGAUCAGAAUGCUGCGGUGAAUACGUUCCCGGGUCUUGUACACACCGCCCGUCACACCAUGGGAGCCGGGAAUGCCCGAAGUCGGUGACCCAACCGUAAGGAGGGAGCCGCCGAAGGCAGGCCUGGUAACUGGGGUGAAGUCGUAACAAGGUAAC
rnacentral:rRNA from 1 species